CACAGUAACAGCUCAUCAUGAAAUGGAAGAGGUGCACAUGUGAUCAACACAGGGCAUCCAUUUGGCAGAAGCAAGUAUAGAAAAGAAGCAAAACACUUACAAUGCAGAAGUUCCCUUAAGCUUGCAGGGUGCUGGGACUGUUCCUUGGGACCAGAUCUCCUGAGGAUGCGAAGCCGAGGAGAGGGCUGUGUGUUCUCAGGCCCUGUACACAGAGGCUGACGCCCAGAUGAUGGAGGCAGGAGGAUACGUGGUGCACCCUACACAUCGCUGAAAGUCUCCUGUGCCACUUCAGGAUUCACAUUCAGUAACUACUGGAUGAUCUGGGUCCGCCAGUCUGAAGGAAAGUGGCUGGAGUGGAUCUUUCACAUAAACUCUGACAGUAGUAAAAUAUAUUACACCGACUUCAUGAAGGACAGAUUCACCAACAGGGACAACGGCAAGAAAACACUGUAUCUGCAGAUGAGCAUCCUGAGACCCGAAGACAGGGCCAUGUAUUACUGUGAGAGAUUCACAGUGAGUGGACAUCCGUUGAAGCCCAGACACAAACCUCCCUGCAGAGGCAUGGGAACCUGCAGGGGGCACUGUGUCCCACAGAGAAACAGCCCAGGAGCAGGUGCAGGGGAAGAAGCUGGCAAAUGAGGGCUUCCUGGUGGCCUCUGGGGUUUCCUCUCUGCUUUAAAUCCUGUCACCCAUGGACACCCUGAAAUUCAAAGACUUCAGAUGGCGUCCGAUGUGUUCAAGUAAACAUUUUCAU